UACGUAGGGUGCAAGCGUUGUCCGGAAUUAUUGGGCGUAAAGAGCUCGUAGGCGGUUUGUCACGUCGGCUGUGAAAACCUGGGGCUCAACCCCGGGCCUGCAGUCGAUACGGGCGGACUAGAGUUCGGCAGGGGAGACUGGAAUUCCUGGUGUAGCGGUGAAAUGCGCAGAUAUCAGGAGGAACACCGGUGGCGAAGGCGGGUCUCUGGGCCGAUACUGACGCUGAGGAGCGAAAGCGUGGGGAGCGAACAGG
rnacentral:rRNA from 1 species